rnacentral:rRNA from 1 species
CGGGUGAGUAAUACAUCGGAACGUGCCCGAUCGUGGGGGAUAACGAGGCGAAAGCUUUGCUAAUACCGCAUACGAUCUACGGAUGAAAGCGGGGGAUCUUCGGACCUCGCGCGGACGGAGCGGCCGAUGGCAGAUUAGGUAGUUGGUGGGAUAAAAGCUUACCAAGCCGACGAUCUGUAGCUGGUCUGAGAGGAUGAUCAGCCACACUGGGACUGAGACACGGCCCAG